CAUUUCCUGUUUGGCAUAUAGGUUGCUCCUUGCCAAUCAUGUCUAGGCUCAGAAGCUAAACAGUGAUGGGCCUGAGUAGUACUUGGAUGGGAGACCACUAGAAACUCUAGUCUAGGAAAAUGA
rnacentral:rRNA from 1 species